CCUACGGGUGGCAGCAGUAGGGAAUCUUCCACAAUGGGCGCAAGCCUGAUGGAGCAACGCCGCGUGGGUGAAGAAGGUCCUCGGAUCGUAAAACCCUGUUGUGAGAGAAGAAAGUGCGUAAGAGUAACUGUUCACGUUUCGACGGUAUCUAACCAGAAAGCCACGGCUAACUACGGGCCAGCAGCCGCGGUAAUACGUAGGCGGCAAGCUUUAUCCGGAUUUAUUGGGCGUAAAGGGUACGCAGGCGGUCUUUUAAGUCUGAUGUGAAAGCCCUCGGCUUAACCGGGGUAGUGCAGUUGAAACUGGGGGACUUGAGUGCAGAAAGGGAGGGUGGAACUCAAGGUGUAGCGGUGAAAUGCGUAGAUAUAUGGAAGAACACCAGUGGCGAAAGCGAGUGUCUGGUGUGUAACUGACGCUGAGGUUCGAAAGCGUGGGUAGCAAACAGGAUUAGAUACCCUGGUAGUC
rnacentral:rRNA from 1 species